UUGGCGUAUGACGUACGAUUUAUUGCCAUCUCUUGGAGACACGACAAUAAGUUGUACGUCAUACGUGAAAGCUUGUGCAUACUUACGUCUACAAUUUAAGUCUAAGUAAAUGUUACGACAAUUCUUGUGCUCAGAUCCUAUUAAGAUACAAUAGGUAUACAGUCAGAGAUUAAAAGGUUGCAAUACUUUUUAUUGAUGGUUUUCGACAAAAUUGUCAGAAUGCGAGCCACUAUUUGCGAAGCAUACCUGUUAACGAGAUGACGGAAUCAAAAUAUACAAAGUAUAAGUAAAUGAGUAUGCAUUAAGCAAAUAUUUUAUAAUUAUUUUGUAUAUUAGGACACCAUAAGACAUGCCGCAGUACAUAUGCGAUUAGAGAGAGAAUGGAUUAUGAUGUUUGCGAAUAAGAUAAUUAAUCUUUCAAGAAGUAUUUUGUCCGAAAGAGAUAGGCACAGAAAUAAAAAGCCAUUGAUCUUCUUUUCGGCCAUAAGCAGCGAAGACAAACAAGCUUAAACAUAAAUUUUUCGUGAAAAAAUAUGACAGAAGUUUAAGGUCUGUUUUCUGUGGCUGAAUUAGUGUACACUUUUGGAUCUUGAAGUGAGAUAAGUACAUAUUUGAUAUUUGUUGAAAAUGAGAAAGAGAGUGCCAGUCUAAUGUAAGAACAGAAAAUAGAUCACUGCAUUCCGUCACACAGACUAUUCUAUAUACAGACUGCUAACUGUUUGAAAAAGUGCCUCCGAUUUUGAUGUAACAUUGGGCCGGAUUCCUUGGCGGAAAAGCGGAAGCCAAUCGGAACUCGCAAUAGGGCGGUACAUUUCGCUUGUCUGCUUCUGUUUUUCCGCGAAUUCUGAUUGAAUUCCGUUUUUCCGUUUUUUUUUCGUCAAUAUGUGAACCCAGCUUUAUAUGCAUGCGUCGAGAACCGUUCCGCGUGACGUAUCUGCACAUGCGCACACAUCAACAUACUAUUUUAAUAGGACCCUUUAACCAGAGAGAGACUUGAGAGAGGAUAUGACGGCCCAAAAUCUGUAACUGCAAAACGCCAUUAUUGUCCUCUGAUAAGUGGAUGGAUAGCCUUAUGUAUCUCCCGCCUUGAAAAAUGGACGAUGUACUCUAAGAAAAGUGGAUGUUGCUAUAUAGUUUACAUCCACUUUGUUAGAGGGCAGUAGUGCGCGACAGCAUUUUGCGAUUACAGAUUUUGAGUCAUGUCAUCUCUCAGA